GACAAAAAGUAAAGUCACUGUGAAUUAAACGUGUUGAGGUGAGGUAUCGUAUAAGCGAUUUCAAUGUUGGUUGUCCAACAGCCUCGCCAGUAUAAACUAUAUAAUAUACUCAUUACAUUCCAUGUAUAAAGGUAGUGCUUGCACUGUCUUGAAAAGGUAACAAAAUGACAACUGCUAACGGUGGAUCUCUUGGCUCGUGCAUCGAUGAAGAACGUAGCCAGUUGCGAUAAGUAGUGUGAAUUGCAGAAUGAAGUGAAUCAUCGAAUCUUUGAACGCAAAUUGCACUCUCUGGAUCUCCAGGGAGUAUGUCUGUCUGAGCGUCGUGUUAAACCUAAACACUUCGGUGUUGCUUGGGAGUUCUUGCAUCACAGCUCAUGCAAGUCUCUUUAUGUGCCUUCGGCUUGUUCGUGUAACUCUCUGUAUUACUGAACAGAAAGCUCAACUUGCUUCUGCCUUUCUGACAGUUUUCAGUUGGUUAUUUAUUGCGAGCGAGUCCAAUGCUCGUGGUAGUGCACAAACUCCACAAUAACUUACUCUCUCUUCUCGAAUUAACAUUCUUGGAGCGGGGUAAAACCAUCAAUGACCUCAGAUCAGGC
rnacentral:rRNA from 1 species